UUUAUGAAGAGUUUGAUUCUGGCUCAGAAUGAACGCUGGCGGCGUGCUUAACACAUGCAAGUCGAACGGUCAUUAUUGACAAAGGAGAUAGCUUGCUAUUUCCGGAGUCGAUUUUGAUAGUGGCGCACGGGUGAGUAAUAUAUGGACAAUCUACCUUCAGGAAUGGGAUAACCCUCCGAAAGGGGAGCUAAUACCGUAUGCGAUUAUAGCUACACAUGUUUUUAUAAUUAAAGGUGGCCUCUGUUUACAAGCUAUUACCUGAAAAUGAGUCCAUAUCCUAUUAGUUAGUUGGUGGGGUAACGGCCUACCAAGACGAUGAUGGGUAGCCGGUCUGAGAGGAUGAUCGGCCACACUGGAACUGAGACACGGUCCAGACUCCUACGGGAGGCAGCAGUGAGGAAUUUUGCGCAAUGGGGGAAACCCUGACGCAGCGACGCCGCGUGGGUGAUGAAGGUUUUCGGAUCGUAAAGCCCUUUCGGGUGGGAAGAAUAAAGGAUAGGUAAAUAAUCUAUUCUGAUGACGGUACCACAAGAAGAAGCCUCGGCCAACUACGUGCCAGCAGCCGCGGUAAUACGUAUGAGGCAAGCGUUAUUCGGAAUUAUUGGGCGUAAAGGGUGCCUAGGUGGUUAAAUAAGUCAGGUGUGAAAACUAGAGGCUUAACCUCGAGAUUGCAUUUGAUACUGUUUGACUUGAGUACAGGAGAGGAGAGUGGAAUUCCCGGUGUAGCGGUGAAAUGCGUAGAUAUCGGGAGGAAUACCAGUGGCGAAGGCGGCUCUCUGGACUGAUACUGACACUGACGCACGAAAGCCAGGGGAGCAAACGGGAUUAGAUACCCCGGUAGUCCUGGCUGUAAACGGUGAGCACUAGGUGUGGGAGGUAUCGACCCCUCCCGUGUCGAAGUUAACACAUUAAGUGCUCCGCCUGGGAAGUACGGCCGCAAGGUUGAAACUCAAAGGAAUUGACGGGGGCCCGCACAAGCGGUGGAGUAUGUGGUUCAAUUCGACGCAACGCGAAGAACCUCACCGAGGCUUGACAUGCUGAUAGUAAUGACUCGAAAGGGAAGUGACCC
rnacentral:rRNA from 1 species